GGCCGCGAGGCCUCUCCUAACGCCCGCCGCCGCCUGGUAACGCCCGCCCCGCGCGGACAGGGCCAGCGCAGCCCCCGCGGGGUCGCAGGAACGGUUAAUCGCUCUCGAGAGGGAAAAAAACGGCCACGGCCUUGCGGGGCAAAAUCGAGCUUCCUUCGAGCCGGAAUCGAACCAGCGACCUAAGGAUUCCCGCGGGCGGCGCCUCUACAGUCCUCCGCUCUACCAGCUGAGCUAUCGAAGGGAACUGGCAACAGUUGCCGUUCCGCCCCUCACAGCUUAGCGGGCGCGGCGGAACAUGGCGCGCGGUCCUCAUUUCUUGUGGGGAGAGAGACUGUGGGUCCAGUUACCGUCAUGCUGGUUUUGGAGAGCACUUUAUGACUAUUAUUAUUAUUAAUAAUACUAAAUAGCGCUUUUCAUGCACCACACGAGAAGCAGUUGCCACCCAAAAAGUGAAAAGCCACACAAUACCACACAUACUUACACACCAAGCUUGUGUGCUUUGCCAACCUGCGCUUUCUCCUGGCACACGCAGCCCAAAUCUGUGACAGUUCUAAAGGGAGGUAUUCUGAGCCCACAGCACUUCAGGUGUGAGGCAUUGCUACAGGCAGGGGCACACUUGCACAGCAAGCACUGCUUGCUUGGAGAGAAUCACCAGAACAAACUCCUGCGUCCCAAAACACAGUGUUACAAUUACUUCCAGGGCUGACUGGUCUUGGAGGCACCUGCACCUCACAGGCCCGGCAAGAGGAAGUCAUUGAAACCUACAAAACCUCUGGUGCUUGCAUAUCCAUCUGCUGCACAGGGCCCUGGAGCAAGUAAAAAUGUGGGCAGCGGUGUCUGUUCCUAGAGAGGAAGCAGUGAGGUUCCCACUUGCAAGGCCUCCCCUCUGCUGCUGACUGAUGAUGGAUCAAGCUUUUAGGAGAAAUGCUCACCAGCAUUAAGGCUAUGGGUUGGGAGUUUCUGAGCCGACAAACCAUGGAGUAUCUUCCUGCGACAGUGAGAAGGGCAUUCCUGGAGUUGGUGUUUGAAGACACUUGUCCGUGGUGUUUGCUCGAUUCCUGAAUGUUUAUGGUAGGGCACAAUCAUCAGUAUUUUUCCUUUAUUAAUAUUAGUGUGCUUUUUGCUUUAGAGGUCAAAACAAAUAAUCAGAACAGCACAUGGUUUCUUAUUUCAUACACCUUUGCCUCAACUUCAGAAGCAGAUUCAUCUACUGAAAAUUAUUACACGGCUCAAGAGAGGAAAAUCUUCCCGAGAUUCACUGUAGCACAAUCUGUGCAUUUUCCAGAUACUUCCUUACACAAAAGUCUUAAGACUCCAUUUAUUUGCAUAAUAAAGCCUUAUGGGUGUGGAUGUACAUACAUCCUCACAUGUGUAUGUUUACAUGCGUGCAUCUUCACGUCCCUCCUUUCGGGCGGGGAGGUGGCAAUGGAGCAGAGCUCGCGAGAAACCUUGGCUUGCAGCGCCCCCUGCACACGCACACCAGAACCUCAGCCCUUGGCACAUCCCAUAAUACACCUCUGGAGGAACGACAAAAAGCAAACGAGAAACUAACAUACAUUACAAACCUACUCUCACAAGGCUUACCAACAUCAAAGCUGUGACAAAAGCUGUAAUUAAAAAAAAAAAGAGAGAGAGAACAAAGCUCACCUUGCC